UGUGAAAAUAUGCAUAAUGUUGUGAAUGUAUAUAUUAUGCAUGUGUUGGUGAAUGGACUGUUUUAUGGCUUAGAGUGUGAGCAUAUGUCCAUUGUGGAUUGUUGUUAAUGAUGUUGCAUUGCUAGGUGAAUUAGCAUGCAUAUUGUGGCCUUUAUGGUGGUAGCUAAUUCCCAUGGUGAGGAAUUAGUGAGUAAAUCAUUGUGGAUUAUUGUUGAUGAUUUUGCAUUGCUAGGUGAUUUAGCAUGCAUAUUGUAGUCUGUAUGGUGGUAGCUAAUUCCCAUAGUGAGGAAUUAGUGAGUUGGUGGUAGCUAAUU
rnacentral:lncRNA from 1 species